CGUUUAAAUAUAAUUACUAGACGGAAAGCAGCACGCGCGGAAACCAUGCAGACGAAUGUGAUUAGGCUCCGCCUCUUUUGGAUCAUUUGAAGACAAAAUAAGCACCCGAGGCGGCUUUUUGAUUGGAUAUGAGCCUCAUGAAUAUGUAUUUUAUCGAUAGUAUCGUUUAAGAAACCGGAUAAUAUAUUUGACCUCAUUGCGUCACUUUAAUUAUGCAGAUUUAUGCACGACGCAGGCUACUCGCACAAACUGAGAAGAUUUAGUUCAUUGAGAAUGGAUGGAAACUGAUGAAGAGCUGGAAGGAGUUAAAUGAUGAGUAGACAUUACAACAUUUCUUAUAUUUUCAAGAUGAAGCUGAAAGUCCCAUGCAGGAUGAUGCUUCUCUACAGUGGAUGAUGAAAGCAUGCUGAUUACAAACCCAGGAGAGGAAUAAAGAACAGAUAUUGACAGAAUCAUAUCUAUAGAUGUGGGCCUACUGCACUUCAUACAAGCAAGUGUGCUAAUAUACCAUGUAGGUACCCCCAAUAAACUAUUGUAGAACACAUUUAUCAUGCAGAAAGUUAUAGAUCUGACAAUUAUAUUUUUCAUUGUCCAUUGACUUGUAAAAGAAUACUUGA